AAAGAUGGAAGAAUGGGCGUGAAAAAAGCUCAGGCAGAGAACUGUCGAAACAGAGGUUUCUAGUCAAGAACGAACCGUGAAUUUGGGAUUUUGUUUCGGGUUUAUACAAGUCUAUAUUGUUCUAGUUGGUUGGGUGGGUGGUUCGAUUCGGUUCGGGUAUUGACUUGAUGACCAGUGUGGAGAACUUGUCUGACGUUUGUCUUGAGUUGUUUUCUUGGUGUAUUGUGAAACUGUUUGAGUUGUAGUUAUGUACUUGUUUCUCCAUCCCAAAAAAUGGCUACAGUUUGGUUUUGCUU